AUGGUCACAAGGCAGCAGCUUUACCACUGCGCCAAGGCUCCCCUUCUGACCUAAAACUGUAAAACAAGAAAAAAAACAUUUUUACCUGUCUGUGCUGUUGUAGAUGAAUUGAUAAUCAAACUGCAGUCAUCUAGCCUUGAAAGCCAAAAAUAUAAUGGAUGGACUAUGAGAACAAUACAGAAGUCUGUUGCAUCGGAUUGUAGUUAAACAAAUUCAGAUGUGGUCAUUUGGUGGAAGGAUACCUUAGUUGGAUAUAACACUAAUCAAAUGGUUGUCGCCUGCACAUUCGUUUCUGGUGACAAAUAUAUGGUGCACUACACCUGCACAUUCAAUUGCCAUGGUGAAAAAUACAGGUGCACAAAUGGUUCAAGAAGUACAAUCGCAUCAAGAUAGACUAACAUGUUUCUAGAUUGGGAUUUGCUUCAUCCUUAAAAGCCUAGCACUUGAAUCUGUAACCUUCAAAGGUGAGCAAUCGAUGCCUGACUUACAAAAUUCCUCUUUCUUAUAAUCUAAGCAUCUGUCAAAGAGUUCAAAUGAAGAAAAGCAUAAUGAGAGCAACUAUAUGAACCAAGCUAUAAUUUCCACAUCAUAGCUUUCAACGGCAGAGCAACUUACAGAAUGGAAUUACCCAAUCAUUAUCAAUGUUAGUGAACUAUUUGUUUAACUCUCGUAGGAACUCAACUAUCAUUGUCCUUGCUGAUCUCACCUGGUAUGUGAUGUGGCGGGGUGCAACCAUUGCUUAUGUACCCCGUGAAACUGAAAAUGAAAGUUUGACAUAGUAAAAUACACCAAUACCCAAAUUUGCCUAAAUCUGCCCCACGAGUGAUAUUUUUCUGUUAAUGACAACCAUGUGAAACUAAAAACACCUAAAUAUAACCUGACAACUUAAAAUUUAAUCAGGAAAUGACAGAGUAGAUCGAGAAUCACCAAAACAACUCACCUCAGAUGAAGCACACAUCAAGGAGACCUGCUUCACCUCCAAUGAUCCACCUCUACCUCACACACAUCAUGUCUCCUCCUACAUCAAGCCAUCAUGGAAGGAAAAAUCUAAGAAUGUGCACUGAAACCUCAAGUAGUUUCACAUUGGACAGCUCGAGCGGGCUGGCUCGCCUUGGUCGCCUCGACCACGAACGUGAGCAAGAAGGUGGAAGCCUACCUUGGCUGGUGUGGGUGAGUUCUUCCACGGCACGCCCCGGAGUAAGAAGACAGCAGAGAAAAAUCGCGAAUGGCCCCUGGCCGGCGGCGCCGCCUCCACGAGGACCAGCCUGCUCCUUCACCUGUCCCCGCCUCAUCCCUCUUCCCUCUUCCAUCGAGCCUCAUGUCCCCGACUCUUCCCUCUUGGAGCCUCACCCGCGACGGGCCGACAGCUGCUUGUCCGGGUCGCCUGCCUCCAGUGCCCCGUCGCCCCACCACCGGGCCUAACUUGCGCCAGAUCCGGAACCAGGCGCCGCCGACGACCGGAUAAACAACGGAGAGAGGGGAGUCGAGGUGGGGAAGCAGCAAUGGUGGCGGAGGAGUAGGCGGCAGCGAGGCCCUGGUGACGAGCGGGGAGGAGGGAGGGGCAGUGGAUCAAGGGGAAAGUGGGAGCUAGGGUUGUGCGUUGCCUGCCUGGUGUGCGAGCGAGAUUGGGUGUGUAGCAC
rnacentral:lncRNA from 1 species